rnacentral:rRNA from 1 species
GACGAACGCUGGCGGCGUGCUUAACACAUGCAAGUCGAACGGAAAGGCCCUUCGGGUUACUCGAGUAGCUAACGGGUGAGUAACACGUGGGUGAGCUGCCCAGCACUUUAUGAUAAGCGGGGGAAACUGGGUCUAAUACCCAAUAGGAGCACGCUCUUCAUAGUGGGUGGGUGAAAGCGUUUGCGGUGUUGGCUGGGCCCGAGGCCGAUGAGCUUGUUGGUGGGGUAAUGGCCGACCACGGCAACGACGGGUAGCCGGCCUGAGAGCGUGACCGGCCACAAGGGUCCUGCGGUACGGCCCAGACUCGUAUGGGAGGCAGCAGUGGGGAAUAUUGCACAAUGGGCGCAAGCCUGAUGCAGAGACGCCGCGUGCGGGAUGCCGGCCUUCGGGUUGUAAACAUCUUUCAAUAGGGACGAAGCGCACGUGACGGUACCUAUAGAAGAAGCCCCGGCCAACUACGUG